UCCCUGGUGGCUCAGAGGGUAAAGCGUCUGCCUGCAAUGCAGGAGACCCGGGUUCGAUCCCUGGGUUGGGAA
rfam:TPA: Bos taurus chromosome 28, whole genome shotgun sequence.